GAUGAACGCUAGCUACAGGCUUAACACAUGCAAGUCGAGGGGUAACAAGAGAAAAGCUUGCUUUUCUUGUUGACGACCGGCGCACGGGUGAGUAACGCGUAUCCAACCUGCCUAUAACUAGGGAAUAACCUUGCGAAAGUAAGACUAAUACCCUAUGAUUUCCUUUGAUGACAUCAGAUUAGGAAUAAAGAUUUAUCGGUUAUAGAUGGGGAUGCGUCUGAUUAGCUUGUUGGCGGGGUGACGGCCCACCAAGGCAACGAUCAGUAGGGGUUUUGAGAGGAAGGUCCCCCACAUUGGAACUGAGACACGGUCCAAACUCCUACGGGAGGCAGCAGUGAGGAAUAUUGGUCAAUGGGCGGAAGCCUGAACCAGCCAAGUAGCGUGCAGGAUGACGGCCCUAUGGGUUGUAAACUGCUUUUAUACAGGAAUAAAGUUAGCCACGUGUGGUUAUUUGUAGGUACUGUAUGAAUAAGGACCGGCUAAUUCCGUGCCAGCCGCCGCCGUAAUAC
rnacentral:rRNA from 1 species